GUUUGAUCGUUCCAAGCAUGGCAGAGAGGCGGCACGGGCGAUGCUGCAUAUCCGCCAGGGAAACCGCUCUGUGUCGGACUAUGCCAUAGAUUUCCGGACUCUGGCUUCUUCUAGUGGAUGGAAUACAGACGCUCAGUUCGACGUUUUUCUCAAUGGUCUCUCAGAGACCAUAACGGAUGAAAUGAUUACCCAGGAACCCCCCGCCAGCUUGGAUGCUCUGGUUGACCUGGCCAUCCGCGUUGACUCCCGACUGCAGCAGCGCCGCAAGUGGAGAUCUCCCAGAAGCCUUGGUGGAGCACCAGGUGAAGGAGCAGCUCCUCAUCCGGCCUGGCCAGCCCUGCCAUCCACCUCAUCCACACCUCCAGAGCCAAUGCAGAUUAACCGCUAUCACCUCACAGCAACAGCGAAGCAGCGGAGACUCAAUGGCAAUUUGUGCCUGUAUUGUGGUCAGUCUGGCCACUUCUCCGUCUCUUGUCCAUCAAAAGGAGGUGCUCAUCAGUGAAACGAGGAGUACUGUUUCUGGCAACCAUCGUGAACAGAUCCAGCUCCACAUUAUUGAGUCCCCUCAUGCUCCCUUAGUCCUUGGUCGUCCCUGGUUGAGGAAACAUAACCCUCACAUUGACCGGGUUCUCCAGGGCCUCCUGGAGAAUCAACUCUAUGUUAAGGCAGAGAAUUCCUGACCCCAACCGCCAGUUCAUCGUGGAAGUGGACGCGUCAGAUGUGGGUGUUGGAGCCAUUCUUUCCCAGCGUUCAGCCAAGGAUUGGAAGGUACACCCUUGUGCCUUUUUCUCCCAUCGACUCACUCCAUCGGAGCACAACUAUGACGUUGGCAAUCGAGAAUUGCUGGCUGUUAAGUUGGCUCUAGAGGAGUGGCGCCAUUGGCUAGAGGGGUCUAGUGUUCCUUUUUUGGUUUGGACUGAUCAUAAGAACCUUGAAUACAUUCGCACAGCAAAAUGUCUGAAUUCCCGCCAAGCCCGCUGGUGCCUUUUAUUUUCCCGAUUCAACUUCACCCUGUCUUUCCGUCCCGGAUCAAAGAAUGGCAAACCAGAUGCCCUCUCCCGCAUCUUCCCUGCCUCAAGUUGCCCAGAGGAACCGAGGAAUAUCCUUCCUGGUCACCGUAUUGUUGGGGCAGUCCAGUGGGACAUAGAGUCUCUGGUGCGUUCCGCCCAACCGGACAAUGCUGCUCCCAGUCAGUGCCCUGUCAACCACCUGUUUGUCCCUGUGCCCCUCCGUUCCCAG
ensembl:lncRNA